rnacentral:rRNA from 1 species
UGGGGAAUUUUGGACAAUGGGCGAAAGCCUGAUCCAGCAAUGCCGCGUGUGUGAAGAAGGCCUUCGGGUUGUAAAGCACUUUUGUCCGGAAAGAAAUCCUUGGCUCUAAUACAGUCGGGGGAUGACGGUACCGGAAGAAUAAGCACCGGCUAACUACGUGCCAGCAGCCGCGGUAAUACGUAGGGUGCAAGCGUUAAUCGGAAUUACUGGGCGUAAGCGUGCGCAGGCGGUUUGCUAAGACCGAUGUGAAAUCCCCGGGCUCAACCUGGGAACUGCAUUGGUGACUGGCAGGCUAGAGUAUGGCAGAGGGGGGUAGAAUUCCACGUGUAGCAGUGAAAUGCGUAGAGAUGUGGAGAAUACCGAUGGCGAAGGCAGCCCCCUGGGCCAAUACUGACGCUCAUGCACGAAAGCGUGGGGAGCAAACAGGAUUNGAUACCCUGGUAGUCCACGCCCUAAACGAUGUCAACUAGUUGUUGGGGAUUCAUUUCCUUAGUAACGUAGCUAACGCGUGAAGUUGACCGCCUGGGGAGUACGUCGCAAGAUUAAAACUCAAAUGAG